AACCGAACGCCUACAAGCAGUCGGAGCUUGACUGGACUCUUAUGACAAUCUGCUUCAUUCAGGUGGCGUUAAGCCACGGGGGAAUGAGCAUGUCGGAUCUAGCGUUCGUGACGGAUGGGAGCAUGGCCGUUCUCGGUCUUGUGGCCGGCCUGAUCGACAUGGGUGUCAAUCACUGCCCGCGGGACGGGUGCCUCGCCAAGCGCGAUGCGAUGCCGCACGCGAGCGCAGCAAUCGGGCAGACCGUGUUCCAGGAAAACGCGGUUGGCGAAGAAAUCUAUCUUCGCCGCGAAACACGGCACGCCAACGGGCCGUUCCAGGUGGCCUACGGGCUCUCGGCGUCGAAUGACGGUGAGCUUUGGGCCGGGAUCGGACACACCUACACGAUGACCAACGCGAGCGAGAACCUGUUCCUGAAAUUCCACGCGAUGACCGGCCUCUACGACGAGGGCUCCGGCGUCGAUCUCGGCGGCCCCGUCGAAUUUCGCUCGGGCGUCGAGGUGGGGUUUCAGAACCGGGCGGGCGUCCGCUUCAGCCUCGGUGUUGAUCACCGAUCAAACGCCGGGCUUUACAGCCCGAACCCGGGUCUCGAAACCGUGCAUCUACGCGUCUCGAUCCCGACGAAAUGAUUGUUAUAAGUGUCCAGUCUUGUGACGGCGUACCUUUUGUAUAAUGGGUCAUCGACUUGGUCUAUCCAGCAAGCUUAAGCCGUUAGGUGUAGGCGCAGCGAAAGCGAGUCUUAAAUGGGCGUCGAGUUGGAUGGAUCAGACCCGAAACCGAGUGAUCUAGGCAUGGCCAGGCUGAAGGUAAGGUAGCACUUACUGGAGGGCCGAACCCACAUCUGUUGAAAAAGAUCGGGAUGAGCUGUGCCUAGGGGUGAAAGGCCAAUCAAACUCGGAGAUAGCUGGUUCUCCGCGAAAUCUAUUUAGGUAGAGCGUCAUCCGAAUACCCCGGGGGGUAGAGCACUGGAUGGGUAAUGGGGCCCCACAGGCUUACUGAUCCUAACCAAACUCCGAAUACCCGGGAGUACUAGAUGGCAGACACUCUGUGGGUGCUAACGCCCAUGGAGGAGAGGGAAACAACCCUGACCUGCAGCUAAGGCCCCUAAUUCAUGGCUAAGUGGGAAAGCAGGUGAGACGGCCAAAACAACCAGGAGGUUGGCUUAGAAGCAGCCAUCCUUUAAAGAUAGCGUAACAGCUCACUGGUCUAAAUAAGCUGUCUUGCGGCGAAGAUGUAACGGGGCUCAAGCCAUGAGCCGAAGCUCAGGAGUGCGUAAGCACUGGUAGCGGAGCGUAGUGUGACAUAGAUCCAUUCCUCCUUAGCGCCUUUCGCGGCGCGUUGGAGGAAAGGAUCUUUCGAUGAAGCCGGGGCGUGAGCCAGCCGGUGGAGAGAUCACUAGCGAGAAUGAUGACAUGAGUAGCGACAAACAGGGUGAGAGACCCUGUCGCCGAAAGUCCAAGGGUUCCUGCUUAAAGCUAAUCUGAGCAGGGUAAGCCGACCCCUAAGGCGAGGCCGAAAGGCGUAGUCGAUGGGAACCAGGUUAAUAUUCCUGGGCCAGGAGGAUGUGACGGAUUGUGACUGUUGUUCGGACUUAUCGGAUUGUCCGGGCCGCUGAUCAGUCCCUGGAAAUAGCACCUCCACAAGAUCGUACCCUAAACCAACACAGGUGGACUGGUAGAGCAUACCAAGGCGCUUGAGAGAACGAUGUUGAAGGAACUCGGCAAUAUACCUCCGUAAGUUCGCGAGAAGGAGGCCCGGGUCUUGGGCAACCAGGGUCCGGGGGCACAAACCAGGGGGUGGCGACUGUUUACUAAAAACACAGGGCUCUGCGAAGUCGCAAGACGACGUAUAGGGUCUGACGCCUGCCCGGUGCCUGAAGGUUAAAAGGAGGUGUGAGAGCACCGAAUUGAAGCCCAGGUAAACGGCGGCCGUAACUAUAACGGUCCUAAGGUAGCGAAAUUCCUUGUCGGGUAAGUUCCGACCUGCACGAAUGGCGUAACGACUGCCCCGCUGUCUCCAACAUCGACUCAGCGAAAUUGAAUUGCCUGUUAAGAUGCAGGCUACCCGCGGUUAGACGGAAAGACCCCGUGCACCUUUACUACAGCUUCGCACUGGCAUCAGGAUUGUGAUGUGCAGGAUAGGUGGCAGGCUUCGAAGCCGGGACGCUAGUUCCGGUGGAGCCACCCUUGAGAUACCACCCUUCGCACUCUUGAUGUCUAACCGCGACCCAUGAACCUGGGUCCGGGACCCUGCGUGGCGGGUAGUUUGACUGGGGCGGUCGCCUCCUAAAUGGUAACGGAGGCGCGCGAAGGUUGGCUCAGAGCGGUCGGAAAUCGCUCGUUGAGUGCAAUGGCAGAAGCCAGCCUGACUGCGAGACUGACAAGUCGAGCAGAGUCGAAAGACGGCCAUAGUGAUCCGGUGGUCCCGUGUGGAAGGGCCAUCGCUCAACGGAUAAAAGGUACGCCGGGGAUAACAGGCUGAUACUGCCCAAGAGUCCAUAUCGACGGCAGUGUUUGGCACCUCGAUGUCGGCUCAUCUCAUCCUGGGGCUGGAGCAGGUCCCAAGGGUACGGCUGUUCGCCGUUUAAAGAGGUACGUGAGCUGGGUUUAGAACGUCGUGAGACAGUUCGGUCCCUAUCUGCCGUGGGUGUAGGAUACUUGAGAGGAGUUGCCCCUAGUACGAGAGGACCGGGGUGAACGUUCCACUGGUGGACCUGUUGUGGCGCCAGCCGCAGUGCAGGGUAGCUAUGAACGGACUGGAUAACCGCUGAAGGCAUCUAAGCGGGAAGCCGCCCUCAAAACAAGGUAUCCCCGAGGACCGUGGUAGACCACCACGUCGAUAGGCCGGAGAUGUAAGCGCAGCAAUGCGUUCAGUUGACCGGUACUAAUUGUCCGACAGGCUUGAUU
rnacentral:rRNA from 1 species